UACGGGGGGGGCAAGCGUUGUUCGGAAUUACUGGGCGUAAAGGGCUCGUAGGUGGCCAACUAAGUCAGACGUGAAAUCCCUCGGCUUAACCGGGGAACUGCGUCUGAUACUGGAUGGCUUGAGUUCGGGAGAGGGAUGCGGAAUUCCAGGUGUAGCGGUGAAAUGCGUAGAUAUCUGGAGGAACACCGGUGGCGAAGGCGGCAUCCUGGACCGACACUGACGCUGAGGCACGAAAGCUGGGGGAGCGAACAGG
rnacentral:rRNA from 1 species